rnacentral:misc_RNA from 1 species
UUGCUGGCUUCCUUCAGUGGAUGGUCUGCUCCCUUUAAAUGCAUUAGUGGGAUCUCUUGUGGACCGUCACUUGGUGUGAUAAUUAUCUAUGCCAUCUUGACUUUGAAGCAAACUAAUGGGAACCUGCUCAUAACCGUCCUUUCAGGGACAACUCUUGACAUUUUGACCUCAAAUCAGGUAGGACUACCCGCUGAACUUAA